ACUCAUAAUAACUUUACGGAUCACAAUAAUUUAUUUUGGACAAAUCAUUCAGUUUCUGACCAAUCAGCUUUAVACGGUAGGGUAUUGGCCUACCGGGCUAUGACGGGUAACGGGGAAUUGGGUUGAUUCCGGAGAGGGAGCCAGAGAAACGGCUACCACAUCUAAGGAAGGCAGCAGGCGCGCAAAUUACCCAAUCCUAAUACAGGGAGGUAGUGACAAGAAAUAACAAUACGGACUUUACGGUUUUGUAAUUGGAAUGAGUUAAGUAUAAACCCCUUUACAAGUAUCAAUUGGAGGGCAAGUCUGGUGCCAGCAGCCGCGGUAAUUCCAGCUCCAAAAGCGUAUAUUAAAGUUGUUGCAGUUAAAAAGCUCGUAGUUGGAUUUCUGUUAAUACCUUAAUAUAUAAUAUUUUUUUUUUAAAUAUUAAUAUGUAAGAUUAACAUAAUUCAUAUUUUUAAGACUGAAUUUUUAGUUUUGAUAAUAUGAAAUUUUACUUUGAGAAAAUUAGAGUGCUUAAAGCAGGCUUUUGCCUUGAAUACUCCAGCAUGGAAUAAUAAUAAAAGAUUUUUAUCUUUUUUUUAUUGGUUCUAAGAUAAAAAUAAUGAUUAAUAGGGACAGUUGGGGGCAUUUGUAUUUAACAGUCAGAGGUGAUAUUCUUAGAUUUGUUAAAGACAAACUAAUGCGAAAGCAUUUGCCAAGGAUGUUUUCAUUAAUCAAGAACGAAAGUUAGGGGAUCGAAGACGAUCAGAUACCGUCG
rnacentral:rRNA from 1 species